CCUCAUAAAGGCCAUGUCUGUUUCUGCUCCACCGCUACCACGCUGUGCACCUGGGGGUGGGCCGUCUCGUCUCCCUGAGACUUUUGCCUUCUCUGCCGCUCCUUGCCUCAAAGAUCCUCCCAGCAGUGGAGACACAACUGAUCUCGCUAUGCUCUUGGACCUCUUGGGAGCCUAAUGUCUGUUCCCGCUGGAGCUAAGUACAUGAUCAUUGCCAGCACAAGUGCUGUUUGCUGCCAAGGGGGGAAAAAAAGAAAGCAAAGGAAAGAAACCGAAGGUUGUAAGAUACAGUGAGAGACUAGAAGAGGAGACACUGGAACUCUUGCCAGAGAAAUUGCUGUGGUAGAUUUGCAACCUGAUUUCCAAACCUGGAUUGUUCAGAUGAAGUCAGAUAAACUUUGGAGAAACAUCUGUACCUCACAGCAUUGAUCUCAGACACCAACACCUUUGGCAGUUCUCCCGUCCCUCUCUCUCGUUGUCUCCAAAGCAAGUGAAAUGGAUGAGACUUAUGCUCUUCACCAGGACUGCAAACUCCUGGCUUUCAAUUCUGCAGCAAUUCCAAAAACCGUGUGCUACCUGAUUCUGUGCAAGUUAAACUGAAAGUUAAAUCUUUUGACUUUUUAAAUUUAUAUUUACUUGCUUAUUGUCCAACAUCCAAUCUAGAGCUUCUCUCUCCUUCCUUAGGCCCCCCUCAAAUCACCCAGAUGCCCGAAUCCUCUAUUAAAUCCAUUUACUAAAGUAUAAA